CCCGACUUCGGAAGGGAUGUAUUUAUUAGAUUAAAAACCAAUGCCCUCUGGGCUCCUUGGUGAUUCAUAAUAACUUUUCGAAUCGCAUGGCCUUGCGCCGGCGAUGGUUCAUUCAAAUUUCUUCCCUAUCAACUUUCGAUGUUUGGGUAUUGGCCAAACAUGGUCGCAACGGGUAACGGAGGGUUAGGGCUCGACCCCGGAGAAGGAGCCUGAGAAACGGCUACUACAUCCAAGGAAGGCAGCAGGCGCGCAAAUUACCCAAUCCCGAUUCGGGGAGGUAGUGACAAUAAAUACUGAUACAGGGCUCUUUUGGGUCUUGUAAUUGGAAUGAGUACAAUUUAAAUCCCUUAACGAGGAACAAUUGGAGGGCAAGUCUGGUGCCAGCAGCCGCGGUAAUUCCAGCUCCAAUAGCGUAUAUUAAAGUUGUUGUGGUUAAAAAGCUCGUAGUUGAACCUUGGGCCUGGCUGGCCGGUCCGCCUCACCGCGUGUACUGGUCCGGCCGGGCCUUUCCCUCUGUGGAACCUCAUGCCCUUCACUGGGUGUGGCGGGGAAACAGGACUUUUACUUUGAAAAAAUUAGAGUGCUCCAGGCAGGCCUAUGCUCGAAUACAUUAGCAUGGAAUAAUGAAAUAGGACGUGUGGUUCUAUUUUGUUGGUUUCUAGGACCGCCGUAAUGAUUAAUAGGGACAGUCGGGGGCAUCAGUAUUCAAUUGUCAGAGGUGAAAUUCUUGGAUUUAUUGAAGACUAACUACUGCGAAAGCAUUUGCCAAGGAUGUUUUCAUUAAUCAGGAACGAAAGUUAGGGGAUCGAAGACGAUCAG
rnacentral:rRNA from 1 species